GCAGCACUAGCUCAGUUGGAUAGAGCAUCCGCCUUCUAAGCGGAUGGCCACUGGUUCGAGUCCAGUGUGCUGCACCA
rnacentral:tRNA from 2 species